AUGUGGAGGUCCGGGGGCGCAGUCCGGUCAGGCAGGACCACCCAGGCAACGCAAGGCGCAACUCAAGGGAUGCACGCACUCCCCCGUCGUCGCCUCCACUCUCCCCCACGUCGGUGCUCCGUUCGCCCCCCUCCCUGCAAGCGUGAUGAGGCCAGGGCUGCUCUAGAAGCCAUCCAGGAAAAGAGCCCGACGCUCAUUGAGCUUUGCUCACCGGCCUCCAUGCUAAGCCCUCUCCUUAGCAUCUCGCCGGUGCGCCCGCCCGGCUUCGAGACUUCUCCAACGCCGCCACUGCUCAGCAGUGGCCCCCUGCAGCGUACCCCGACCUCUCCACGGGCUCGCCGGCAUGCAAAUGAUGAUGGACUGCCGGCGGGUUUCGCCGAACUUCUGGUGCCCAGCCUGGGCUUGGCGCUCCCUGAGCCUUUGUUCUGCGGCCGCCUGCCGGCGCUCAUGCCGUCUGCUCCGGCUCCCCCUGCAUCGCCAUUUUCAACCCCACCCAAGAAGCCGGCGGCACGACGGAAAACACUGGUUGGUGUGAAGAUCUCCAAGACGGGAGGCCUCUCCCUUCAGAGGGUCAGGCGCCCUGCAGUGCUCGCGGCAACGGCUCCAGCAGCAAAGAUGGCAGAGCGGAUGGUUAGCCGCAGCCUGGGCAUCACCAAGGACGGUGAGGACGUCACCACGGCCACCGUGGAUGCCUUUGCGGUUAAGUUCAAAGAGCAACUCUCUCCUGAGGUGAUUGUGGCCAUGAGAGAGUUCUUCGAGCUCGACAACGGUGCUGUUACAGCUGUUGAAGAUGCUCUAAUCGGCCAUGGUGGAGCGGGGGUCCUCGACACUGUUGGUGCUGCCGAUGGUGUUAGCUCGCUGGACGUGGGCAUCUGA
rnacentral:rRNA from 1 species